CAUCAUCAAAAUUUUGUAAGUAAGAAUUAGAAUCAUAUAGAAAUACUGGUGAAGGCGAUUUAAAUAUUUUCCUCUUCUUUUCUUUCAUAAUCUUCUUCCACAAUUUUUUUAAGCUUGCUAUCUUCAUUCUUGCCAUGAGUUCAUUGACACAUUCAACAGGAUCGUUUCCAAUUCUCUCAUAACUUGACCAAAUGCAGUUGUUUCUUGAGCCUAGACAGUUGCAAUUAUCAAGGUCCAUGGUGUAUAGAGUAGAGGAUAUAGGAGGCAUAAAAUGGAUUAAGGAAUCAAGUUGUUUGGAGAGCAUAUGCUCUAAAACUAAGACUGAAGGCUAUUUAUAUAGUGAUGGCAUGAACCACCUUUCUUUCCCCUUUUCCAGUUUCCUCAUCACCACCUCAGCAAUGCAUAUACUUUCAGCUAGAUAGGAUCAAGAAAAAGAAAAAGAAAAAGUUAAAUUGGAUGAUCCAGCAACAAAAUUUCCUUUUUAUAUCAGCAAAUCAAGUUGUUACUAUAUAUAUGCUUUUUUAAAGAUUCCUAGUGGUGACUGUAAUACAACGUAGUCACAUGGGUCAUGGUUUGAAUGACAAGUUACUUUUGAGAAAGCCAAACAAUGAAUGUUUUCAAACACCACCUACCCUAGCUACGCAAAUUUUUUGAGAUAAAAAUAUCAUUAGGCGAUCUGCACCCCAUAGUAUGGUAAGACUAUGGUUAACCAAAAAAAUCCAUACCCUUGACCUUAAAUUUAAUGGAUAAACAUACAAUUCAACUAUCUUUCCGUUAAUAGACAACUUUCUCGAAUGGCUAUACUCGCAAAUAUUAAUUAAUAAAUUAUAUUAGAGCACUGUCAUAUGAGUAAAAAUCAUCUCUAUUUGUCAAAGUAAAGGAAAUAUACAAUUUGGAGAGAGAUACACAAAAAAAGAUAGUGAAUGCUUUCAAUAAAUGGAUCUCGUUGUCGUUAAUUAUUGUAUAUAUUUUUCAAGAUUUUUGUGUGUUUUUAUCUUUCUAAAUGGAGGAAAUGAAGAGAAUUAUAAAUGAAGAUGAUUUCAACUCCUGCUAUAUAUAGCGAAGUGUUUACCCCGGAAACAUCCCGACAUGCCUUAUUGUGUUAAUGCCAAAGGCUUGAAUAUUUAUUUGACCAGCGGAAUACAUGGGAAUUUGAUGUGAAUUAGCCAAUCAUUUUCCUUCGUGAUGUUAUCGGGACGUUUUCCUUUGGGAAACUUAGCAUUUUCGAAUAAAUUAGUAAAAUUACAAAUAUAUAGAUUACAGUUUAAGUAUAAUAGUUCCUCAAAUGAAAGAAAAUUUGACUUAAUUUAUGUUCAUUAUUUGAUUAAUUAAUAAUUUUAUUGUAAAACCGAGAUAGUAACGUAUAAUUUAUUUUAGCGUUUAAAUAAUUUUGUUGUGAAUUGUAGGGACUGGAUCUUCAAUAACCUCACCCAUGAGAAGCACAAAGCACACGAGGAGGAAUGUCGAUCUAUCUUUCUAGUGACAUGUUGGAAUCGUUGGAAGUGGAGAAACAAAUCUAUCUUUGAGGAGGACUUUCAUUGGCCUAUUGAUCCUAUUCGUAUCAUUCUUGAAUUUGUCCAAGCCAUUGGUAGGGACGAACAUCCUCACCUGCCACAAGUGUCACAAAAUUUUGACAUUAUCUACAUCGGCUGGAAGAGAUCACAUGGAGAUUGGGUGAAACUGAAUUGUGAUGGAUCUUAUAAGGAGUCACUGGACAACGCAGGUUGUGGGGGCCUUAUUCGAGACUCCAACGGUCAGUGGCUAAAAUGUUAUGCUUGAAAGAUUGGAACAUGUGAUGCUCUUUAUGCUAAGAUGUGGGGCAUGUAUGAGGGCUUAAUGAUGGCGAGAAGACAAGGUUUUUCGCAACUCAUUAUGGAAAGCAACUUCAAACUGCUACUGGACAUGGUAACGUGAAAUUGCAAGAUUAAUGGGGCUACCAUGUUUUGAUUCGUCGAAUCCGAUAUCUCAUUGAACUUUCUGGGGAGGUUUAGAUAAACCACACCUUACGUGAAGGAAACAGAAGUGCGGAUUGGUUAGCUGCAUAUAGUCUUACACACGAUUCUUUUGUGCCCAAUGUUUUAGAGGUCCCUCCAAGGGAGCUGCAAAGUAUUUUAUUUGAGGACAUUUUCGGAGUUUGCAUGCUUAUGAAUGUUCGUUUAAUUUCUUUUUUUUUCUUUUCUUUGGGCAUUGCCCUCUUUUAUGUACAAAAAAAAUGCACAAUCAAUGUAAAUUUGUUUUAACACAUCCAAUCAAGUGACGUUCAUUAAUUUACCAUGUCAUCCCACUCCCUGAAGUGGCAAAAUAGUGUGUUACACCAUAUUUGUUAUAUGUUAUAGUAAGCUUAAAUAAUUUUGUAGAUAUACUUUUUAUGAGGUCUAUAAUAUGUACUUUUUAUUUAUUUUUUCUAUCGCUAAUUUUGAUUAUGUCAAUAAUUUUCAUAUUGGUUGAAUUCAUAGUAAGGUGAGUUAAAUAGAAUGAUUUGUCUUUGUGAGGUUAACUCAGUUGGUGGAAACAAUGCAUAAAAUAUGUAAUAUAUGAGAUUCGAAACCCAACCACCACCAAAAAAAUAGAGUGACCUAACUCAAAUAUACAAUUAAAUCUCAAACCUAAAAUUCAAUACUCAAAACUGAAGUUAGAUUUUACAUUUAAAAAUUUCAAAUUAUAAAACCACUGAACCAAGUUUUUUUUCCUUCUAAAAAAAGGAGGUUUAUGGAGAGGGAUCGAUUGUUAAAUUUCUUUUCAUAUUGAAAAAUUUGCAUUGGAUCUCAUCAUCAAAAUCAAAAUAUUCAGAUUUGGUCUAGCGAUAAUCAAGUUCAAAUUGAUUACUUCUUCCACCACCUCAAAGUGAUGACACUCUAUCACUGACUAGAUGUUGUGCUGAGUAUCUGCAACAUACAAGAUCUAAAUUAUCAAUAGACUCUAUGAGAAUGUUGAAAAUUCGAAGCUAAAAAAAAAAAAAAAACUAGCUAAGAUGUUGAGUCGAGUAUAUAUGUACAAUUUACAAGACCUAAAUUAUCAAUAGACUCAUUGAAAACGUUGAAAAUUCGACCUAAGGUUGCUACUCCAAUUUGAACACUUAGAGGAGCUCAUGUAUCAAUCACUUUGAUUCCUCUCUUUAGGCCAGUAGCACCCAUAUAGGUAUAGCUCUAUUAUUUCCUAAAUAAUAAUUGAUGCAUAUAUUUGAUUUUUAUUAGUCUCUCAAUUUCUUCCAUUUAGAGAGAUACAUAUAUAAAGAAGUUUCGAAAUAAUUAAUAGUGGUGGAUCCCACUAAAAUAUAAAGAAACAUAUUUUUUUUUGAGUAAUAUAUAUAUUUUUUAUCUAUCUUUCACCAAAUGACAUUGUCCACUUAUUUUAAGCAAAUGGAGAGGAUAUUGACUCUUUUGAUCCUAUGCUAAGUGAGUGAAUGUUAAGUUUAUAUAUUUGAAUCACAAUGCAUAAUCCUGACUCAAAAGUUUUGCUGAUUAGUGACAAGGCCGCCCCACAUCAUGUUCAUAUGUGGCUGAAUUUUGAAAGAAACUAUGUACUAAAUCAUACUAAAAAUAAGAAAUAAUAAUGUUCGCCUCUAGAAAGCACAUAAAAAGUAAGAGAUAAUACUGUCAUAGAAAAUCUCUGAUUUUUGCUUAAUAAUUACUAUUUUGAUCAAUAUACAUCAAUUUAUGGUUCUAGGUUCGAUUCCUUGAACCUAAUUUCUAGAAAUGCAGGCAAACAGACACGAUGGGAGUUGACCCAAAUAUUGAUUGAAACAAGCCCUACCGCUAGACCAUAUAACCAAUUGUACGAGAUUUAGUAUAAGAAAAAACAAAUUGGGUAAUGAUCAUGUGUGGCUAUAGCCACACACAGCCCUAUGGUGAAUCUGUCCCUGAUUAGAAACAAACACAAGUUUUCUUUAAAGUUUGAACAACGAAAAAGUUGCCCAUUGCCAAAUAUAUGUAUGUAUAUACGACUCAAAAGAUUAGUUGAUUAGUCAAAGGGACUCACAUCUUUACAAUUGGAAGGAAACGUAAAUUUUAUUUGAAGUUUGAACAACAAAAAUGUUGUCCAUUUUGUUCAAAAAAAAAGUUGUCCAAUACAAUAAAUUUUGGAUAUGUUAGAUUUUUUUUUUUCCCUCAAUCACAUCAAUGAUGUUUGUUAGAACAACAAUACUAACAUAAGAUUAAAUAAAAGACCGAAAGUAAAAGACAAUGAACAUACGAUAUUUGUUAAAAGAUUUCGGCCUAUCUCUGUGACUAUAGAACAAUUAUAGUUCCGUUUUUAUUACUGUGAUGAAUUAGGGUUUUAGCGUUACAAGCAAAAUAUAUAUUACUACUACUACAAUUAAGUUUACAAUAUUACUCUUGAACCGUAGUGUUGAUUAUACAAUAUUAAAAUGGAGUGUUGAUUUUUUAUUUUUUAUGUUAAUGUAAAAAUAAAUCCCAUUAUCAAAAGAUCUAUGUCAAAGAGAUGAUUAAUUAGCUGAAACAAUGAAAUCAUCAUAUAGAAUAUCACCUUUACAAGAUUUAAAAGCUCAAACAGAUCUACAAGACAAGAUAACUAAAACCUUUAUACAACUAUAAAUCGUACUUCGCAAAGUAAAAGAAAAGGAAAAGAAAUUUUGAAUCCAAAUUAAGGAACUCAAAUUACAUCAUGUUAACUGCUAGCUAGCUCUCAUCGUCUAUCUCUAACAUAUCUCGAUCAUCCAUCAAAUCAAUAUUUUUCACAAAAAUCUUUGAGGGUGGUGUUGCAAAUCGAGCUGAUAAUGACCUUGAAAAAUUAUCAGGGUCAAUGUAACCAUCAUCAAAGUUUUGUAAGUAAGAACAACGAUCAUAUAAAAAUACGGGUGAAGAUGAUCUAAAAAUUCUCCUCUUCUUUUGUCUAUUGAUCUUCUUCCACAAUGUUUUCAACCUCGUCAUCUUAGUUCUAGUGACAAAUUCAUUGACACAUACAAUAGGCUCAUGGCCAAUUUUCUCAUACCUUGACCAGAUGUUGUUUCUGGUGCCUAGACAGUUGCAAUUAUCAAGGUUCAUGGUAUAUGGAGUAGAGCACAUAGGAAUCAUGGUUUAAGGAACCAAUGUGUUUGGAGUAGAUGCACUUAGACUAAAACUAAAUGCUCUGUAUAUUGUGAUGGCAUGAACCCACUUUCCUUCUCACACUCCUCAGCACCAGCUCAACAAAGCACAUACUUUUAAUAGAUAGGUCGACCAAGAAAAAGAAAAUUGCUUUAGAUGUCGGCAAUUCAAGUUGCAAUGAUGUGUUUUUUUUGUUUGUUUUAGAAACUCUUAAUAACCGUAACCAAUUUAGUUUUUGAAAUUGUAGCACAUUGUUUGUCUUUUUUAUAGACAAAUGCUAUUAUUUGUUAAUUUGUUAGGGGGAGCAGGGAUUUGUUAGUAGUAGUCACAAUGUUAGUGAGGAUUAUUCACGAUCAUUAUGUUUCCGUAACUUUGUCUCCGUCUCUUUUUUGACCAAUUUUCACUCUCAUCUUAAAUAAUUUAUAUUCAAAAUACGAUGAAGUCAACAAAUAAUAAAGGUAGGGAAUUUAAGGUAAAGAAAAGGUAGGGAAUCCAAUUUUUUUUGUUGAUAACUACCUUGUAAGGCUUCCAAUCUAUCAAUGAGGGGGAUGUCUUAUUGAUGAAGAUAAAUGGAUAACCGACUCGUUUUUUUUUUUUUUUUUUUUUUUAUAUAUUUUUUUUUUAUAAAUGAAUUGGAUUAGGUUAAAUGAAAGUGGAUUGGACUUUUCUAGUUUGAUUCAUCA
rnacentral:lncRNA from 1 species